AUGCUUUGCAAGGACAGCACGCAAGGGGCCGUUUGCACAGGGCUCUUUGCAUGGGGCAGCACGCACAAGGCUGUUGCACGGGGCUGUUGCACAGGACUACUUUGCACAGGGCUCUAUGCACAGGGCCAUCAGUACAGAAUGCUUUGCAAGGGCAGCAUGCACGGGGCUGUUUGCACAUGGGACCGUUUGCACGGGGCCUUUUGCACAAAGCCCUUUGCACAGGACUCUUUGCACAAAGCAGAGCAGUUUGCACAAGAGCUCUUUGCACAGGACCUUUUACACGGGGCUCUUUGCACAUGCAGCACACCCGGUGCAGUAUCUGCAGUUAGUUUGCACAGUGCCGUGUCAUUGCACGUUGCACAUUGCAUGCUGCACGUUGCACAUUGUUGCACGCUGUGUGUUGCAUGCAGUGCAACCCCAACGUUGCAUGUUGCACGUUGCAUGCUGUGUUGCACAACAUGCAAUCCCAACGUUGCACAUUGUUGCACGCAGUGUUGCACGCUGUGCAAUCACACCAUUGCAUGUUGUUGCAUGCUGUGCUGCACGCCAUGCAAUCCCAACAUUGCACAUUGCAAGCAGUGUGUUGCGUGCUGUGCAACCCCAACACUGCAGGUUGCAUGUUGCACGCAGUGCUGCAAGCUGUGCAAUCCCAACAUUGCAGGUUGCACAUUGCACGCUGUGUUGCAUGCUGUGCAAUCACAGCAUUGCAGGUUGUUGCAUGCAGUGCUGCAAGCCGUGGAACCCCAACACUGCAGGCUGCACAUUGGAAGCAGCGUCGCAUGCCAUGCAACCCCAACAUUGCACAUAGCAGGUUGUUGCAUGCACUGUUGCAGUCCAUGCAAUCCCAACAUGGCAGGUUGCACGCAGUGUUGCAUGCCGUGCAACCCCAACGUUGCAGGUUGCACGCUGUGUUGCUAUCACAACGGUGCAUGUUGCAUGCCGUGUGUUGCACACCACGCAACCCCAACGUUGCAGGCUGCUGCACACUGUGUUGCAUGCCGUGCAAUCCCAAUGUUGCAUGCUGCAUGCUGUGUUUUGCACGCUGUGUUUUACACGCUGUGUUUGCAAGCUGUGUUUUACAUGCUGUGUUUUGCACGCUGUGUUUGCACGCUGUGUUUUGCAUGCCAUGUUUUGCACGCUGUGUGUUGCACGCUGUGUUUGCACGCUGUGUUUGCACGCUGUGUUUUGCAUGCUGCAUUUUGCACGCUGCAUUUUGCACGCUGCAUUUUGCACGCUGCACAUUGCACACUGUGUUUUGCACGCUGUGUUUUGCACGCUGUGUGUUGCACUCUGUGUUUGCACGCUGUGUUUUGCACGCUCUGUUUUAUCACCCCCUGUCCGUGUUCCUGCAGUUGCACACAAGGUCGUUUCCUGUUGCUCAAGGACUUCCUGCCCGGGAACAUCCCGGCCCCACAAACAACCCCGCCCCAUAGUGACCCUAUAGCCACCCCAUAG
rnacentral:lncRNA from 1 species